UUUGAAAUCUGGCGUCUUCGGCGUCCGAGUUGUAAUUUGCAGAGGGCGCUUUGGCAUUGGCAGCGGUCCAAGUUCCUUGGAACAGGACGUCACAGAGGGUGAGAAUCCCGUACGUGGUCGCUAGCCUUUACCGUGUAAAGCCCCUUCGACGAGUCGAGUUGUUUGGGAAUGCAGCUCUAAAUGGGAGGUAAAUUUCUUCUAAAGCUAAAUACUGGCCAGAGACCGAUAGCGCACAAGUAGAGUGAUCGAAAGAUGAAAAGCACUUUGGAAAGAGAGUUAAAAAGCACGUGAAAUUGUUGAAAGGGAAGCGCUUGCAGCCAGACUUGCCUGUAGUUGCUCAUCCGGGUUUCUACCCGGUGCACUCUUCUAUAGGCAGGCCAGCAUCAGUUUGGGCGGUUGGAUAAAGGUCUCUGUCAUGUACCUCUCUUCGGGGAGAACUUAUAGGGGAGACGACAUGCAACCAGCCUGGACUGAGGUCCGCGCAUCUGCUAGGAUGCUGGCGUAAUGGCUGUAAGCGGCCCGUCUUGAAACACGGACCAAGGAGUCUAACAUCUAUGCGAGUGUUUGGGUGUCAAGCCCGAGCGCGUAAUGAAAGUGAACGGAGGUGGGAACCUUUCGGGGUGCACCAUCGACCGAUCCUGAUGUCUUCGGAUGGAUUUGAGUAAGAGCAUAGCUGUUGGGACCCGAAAGAUGGUGAACUAUGCUUGAAUAGGGUGAAGCCAGAGGAAACUCUGGUGGAGGCUCGCA
rnacentral:rRNA from 1 species